rnacentral:rRNA from 1 species
AGCAGCCGCGGUAAUUCCAGCUCCAAUAGCGUAUAUUAAAGUUGUUGCAGUUAAAAAGCUCGUAGUUGAAUUUCGGGAUCAAUAUGUUGGUCGUGCCUUCGGUACGUACUGGCAUCAUUGAUUUCUCCCUUCUGACGAACCACGAUGUCAUUAAUUUGGUGUCAUGGGGAGUCAGGACUGUUACUUUGAAAAAAUUAGAGUGUUUAAAGCAGGCUCACGCUUGAAUACAUUAGCAUGGAAUAAUGAAAUAGGACGUUUGACCCUAUUUUGUUGGUUUCUAGGAUCAACGUAAUGAUUAAUAGGGAUAGUUGGGGGCAUUAGUAUUCAAUUGUCAGAGGUGAAAUUCUUGGAUUUAUUGAAGACUAACUACUGCGAAAGCAUUUGCCUAAGGAUGUUUUCAUUAAUCAAGAACGAAAGUUAGGGGAUCGAAGACGAUCAGAUACCGUCGUAGUCUUAACCAUAAACUAUGCCGACUAGGGAUCGGAUGAUGUUAAUUUUUAAUGACUCAUUC